rnacentral:rRNA from 1 species
UACAGAGGUCCCGAGCGUUGUUCGGAUUCACUGGGCGUAAAGGGUGCGUAGGUGGUGAGGUAAGUCGGAUGUGAAAUCUCCGGGCUCAACCCGGAAAUGGCAUUGGAAACUACCUUGCUAGAGGAUUUGAGGGGGGAUUGGAAUACUUGGUGUAGCAGUGAAAUGCGUAGAUAUCAAGUGGAACACCAGUGGCGAAGGCGAAUCCCUGGAAAAUACCUGACACUGAGGCACGAAAGCUAGGGGAGCAAACAGG